AUUGAACGCUGGCGGCAGGCCUAACACAUGCAAGUCGAACGGUAACAGGGAUCAGCUUGCUGAUUCGCUGACGAGUGGCGGACGGGUGAGUAAUGUCUGGGAAACUGCCUGAUGGAGGGGGAUAACUACUGGAAACGGUAGCUAAUACCGCAUAACGUCGCAAGACCAAAGAGGGGGACCUUCGGGCCUCUUGCCAUCGGCUGUGCCCAGAUGGGAUUAGCUAGUAGGUGGGGUAACGGCUCACCUAGGCGACGAUCCCUAGCUGGUCUGAGAGGAUGACCAGCCACACUGGAACUGAGACACGGUCCAGACUCCUACGGGAGGCAGCAGUGGGGAAUAUUGCACAAUGGGCGCAAGCCUGAUGCAGCCAUGCCGCGUGUAUGAAGAAGGCCUUCGGGUUGUAAAGUACUUUCAGCGGGGAGGAAGGGAGUAAAGUUAAUACCUUUGCUCAUUGACGUUACCCGCAGAAGAAGCACCGGCUGACUCCGUG
rnacentral:rRNA from 1 species